rnacentral:rRNA from 1 species
GUUGGCUAAUCCUGGUCGGACAUCAGGAGGUUAGUGCAAUGGCAUAAGCCAGCUUGACUGCGAGCGUGACGGCGCGAGCAGGUGCGAAAGCAGGUCAUAGUGAUCCGGUGGUUCUGAAUGGAAGGGCCAUCGCUCAACGGAUAAAAGGUACUCCGGGGAUAACAGGCUGAUACCGCCCAAGAGUUCAUAUCGACGGCGGUGUUUGGCACCUCGAUGUCGGCUCAUCACAUCCUGGGGCUGAAGUAGGUCCCAAGGGUAUGGCUGUUCGCCAUUUAAAGUGGUACGCGAGCUGGGUUUAGAACGUCGUGAGACAGUUCGGUCCCUAUCUGCCGUGGGCGCUGGAGAACUGAGGGGGGCUGCUCCUAGUACGAGAGGACCGGAGUGGACGCAUCACUGGUGUUCGGGUUGUCAUGCCAAU